rnacentral:misc_RNA from 1 species
UUUCACAACACGAAAAAGCACGAUGUCCAGGGGAUAACAUGCCAAUAUCGCCAGUGGGCAAACCACACAGACAUCGUCACUAUAAACAACAAGAGGACCCCCCCACAAAAAAAGGACCAAAAGGAAAAAAAAAAGUAAAAUAACAUCACAGACUCGGUGAGAAAGGCCUCUUCUGACAUAGAAUCGGCCAGACUCGGAAAAAAAAUGAAUGGCUCAAAACCAUGGCAGAAUUACAGCACAAAGUUCUCCAUCCCACAAUCCACUAAGCGUAUGGGAACUGAGGCAUGUAUUGAACCAAUAAUCUUAACAUGAAAAACCCUUCAGGGCCUACUGACCUCUCCAUGACCGUAGAACCAAUUAAAUACGCUUAAGAGACUGGCAAUGACUCUCCAUCCAUCCAUAACAUAACUUAAAUGAAUGGAAUAUGAAGUGAAUGUGAAAGCAAUGCAAACUUGAGCCACAUCAUAUCCACUUUAAGUUAUGAAGCAACAGCAGCUGAUGCCUUCUCCAUUCUUUCCUUUUCGAUCUCUGCUCUCCUCUGUUCAGCAUGCUGAGCAACACCAUUUGCAAGCGCUUGGUGAUGGAAGUCUAGUGUCUGUGUAAGAUUCUGGAACCUCAAUGGAUCUGAUGCUUGAAUGGCUUUGACAGUAUCAACAAAGAAAACGAAAGGAUCCACCUCGUCAAUUGGUGAUUGCAACUCUUCAUCAUCGCUGUAGUCAUCAUCCGAGUCCUCAUCAUCCUCAUCAUGUGGACGGAAAGCCUUUGCCUGUGCAGCCAAUUUUUGAAGUUUAAUGCUGUCAGCUUCAUCCCCAUCCUCAGCAUCAACUCCCAUGUCCUUGUCAGACCCAUCAUCCUCUUCAUCAUCAGUUUGGAAACCAUCCAUAUCAUCAUCAUCAACUUCAGCCUCUUCUUCCUUUGCAGUUUCUGCAACUUGAUCCUUGUAUGCAACUAGAAGAUCAAGAGUGGUCCUGAAAACACGCUCCAAGGCCUCUCCUGGUAAUUGAUUUGCAGGAAGUGAAAGUAGUGAUGUCAACCCCAAGCAACAAACUUUCUUGUCAUGCUCCCUUCUAAAAUUAGCCCGUGCACCACUUUUUUUCACUUGUUGCAACAUCUGGAACCAAAGGUUAAAAAUCUCAGCAGCAACACCAAGCUUUUGCAGUAUGCUCAGCGUCAAAGCUGCAUUAUAAUAAAGGGCAUCUGCAAUCACUUGAAUGAGAAGACAUUUCAAGUAUGAUUUUUCUGCUCGAUGCAACCGCUCAACAGUGAUUCUCAGAUAUGGCUCAACCCAA